GCGCUCGUUCGUUCAGUUACGUUUCCGACCCACGAGCAGCUGGUGCGCUGUGCUGCGGGCCCCCAGUUGCCACUCGUUUUACUCCAUUCGCUUCAUUAUAUUCUAUGACAUAUCCCUUGUAAUACAAUGACGUUGAACUAUUGUAGCAAAGUAUUUUUAGACAUAUUAUAAGUGUGCCUGUGAUCAGUGUUGUGUACAAAGAACGAGCGAUUUGCGAUCAUAUUUUUUUAGAGACCGGAGUGGCUGGAAAGUAACAGUUAGGUUUAAAAGACAACGAAGUAAACAAACACAUUCAAGAUGGCGGUAUUUGGCUUGGUGUCAUCGGUGGCGGGCUUUGUGAAGGUCCGCUACCUCAUCGACAAGGCUGUCAUAGACAACAUGGUGUUCAGAAUGCACUAUCGCAUCACAUCAGCCAUAUUGUUCCUGUGCUGUAUACUUGUAACCGCUAAUAAUCUUAUUGGCGAGCCGAUCUCAUGUAUCAACGACGGUGCGAUCCCUGCCCACGUACUCAACACCUAUUGCUGGAUCACCUACACGUUCACACUUCCGAAUUCCAACUCCAAGGCUGUGGCACAUCCCGGCCUUGGCAAUGACUAUUUAGAAGAGAAACGCAUCCAUGCCUACUACCAGUGGGUGCCUUUCAUGCUGUUCUUCCAGGGUCUGCUGUUCUACGUGCCCCAUUGGGUUUGGAAGAACUGGGAAGAAGGCAAAAUCCGCAUGAUCUCUGAUGGCAUACGUGGUACCGCUGCCACCAUUGCUGACGAUAAGAACAAUCGUCUGAAUCGCCUUGUCCAGUAUUUGGUGGAUACUAGACACAUGCACAACACUUAUUCCUUUGGUUACUUCUUCUGUGAGAUUAUGAACUUCAUCAAUGUGGUUGGCAACAUAUUCUUCUUGGACACAUUCCUCGGUGGUGCCUUCUUGACUUAUGGAACUGAUGUCGUUAGGUUUUCGAACAUGAACCAGGAGCAACGAACUGACCCUAUGAUUGAAGUCUUUCCAAGAAUAACAAAGUGUACAUUCCACAAAUUCGGUGCUUCUGGAACGAUCCAGAAACACGACGCUCUCUGUGUGCUAGCCUUGAAUAUCCUCAAUGAGAAGAUUUUCAUCUUCCUGUGGUUCUGGUUUAUCAUCCUAUCGGUGGUGAGCGGAUUGGCUCUGGUCUACUCUGCAGCAGUAAUCCUAUUGCCAAGCACCCGCGAGACGAUCCUGAAGAGACGAUUCCGUUUCGGAACUCCGGCUGGAGUCGAGUCACUCGUUAGGAAAACUCAGGUGGGAGACUUCCUACUUCUUCACCUGCUCGGCCAGAAUAUGUCACUCCGUGUAUUCGGCGAGGUGCUAGACGAGCUCUCUCGAAGGCUGCACAUGAACUCCAACGCACCCUCAGCCCCUUCCACUCUCGAGAUGGCCCCCAUCUACCCCAACAUUGACAAGUACGCCAAGGAAACAGAGACGUAAGUUGUGAGACUGAGCUAAGGCAAUACACAACACCCCCAGAAAAAUUGUUCUAGAAAAUGUACGAAAUUUUGUCUCGAAUACGACUCUUGAGAAUAUUCAGCAAUGUGAUUCCUAUACAAUCAUUUCGCUAUUCCUCUCAAUUCUUGUAUCUGAGACUACUUUCUAUGUAGAAAGUGUAGAACGCAGUGUAUUGUGUUUUUAUAACUGUAACGCUCAUUCGCAGUAAUGUAAGAAAUUCAGUUCCAACGACAUGAAUGACCAUGACAUUCCUUAUUUUACCUGUUUAAGUAAGACAACAAUUGCCUUUUUUGCCUUGAGCUUUAAAUUAAGUGAAACCCUAUACGAUUUGUAUAAUUAGUAUAAAAUUGUUGACAAAUUUCGAUUAACAUAAGUAAGCACUUUGUUACGAUUAUGGCAUUUGCUGUGGUACUACGACUAUGCGAAUAAGCAACAUUCACUUUUUUCUCAAUAACAUUUAACUUCCAAGUUUAGUUCUAUAAGUUCGAAGCGACUCGCAGAUAAAUGCAAUUGAUAUUUAAAGUACAUACAAAGUAUACAUUCAUUUCUAUUUUAAGUAUAAUGUAUCUUUUUCUAUUAGGAUAUUAUGCAAAUAAAUGAGGUUACAAGCAAAUGUGGUCUGGACACGUUGCGACUAUGUAUUUAUAUUUAAUUUUCCAUCAUUAAAUGUUAUAAUAAUAUUUAAUUCAAUAACUUGUCCAUACUGUGCUGCGAGUAACUUCAGACGUGAGAUAUAGAAGACAUUUUUAAUUUUAGUAGUUUAUGUUUUUCUUUUCUUUGUAUCGAUAAGGAUGAUAUAAUAUUAAGGCCAUAGCUAUGCAUUUUUAAUGAAAUUAAAUAAGUGAUUAUGAACUGUAUGAAAUAUUAUAAUAAACAGGCUGGUCUCUAAUAUUGAUAUAUAUUUGAUAUGAAACAUUCAGUGAGUUAGUAGUUUAUUAAAAACUAUAACAAUGCUUCAGAAUACACAUAUCGACUUUAAAAUUAAGUCUUUCAUUUACAAUUAAGUAGACAUUAUAUUGAUUAGAAUAUUUUAUACGUGCUUUUCUUUUGUUCCAUUGAUUUAGUAAAUAUUUUGAAGUUAUAAUGUAACUAAUAGGGUUACUAUCAUGUGUAUGAGCUGCGUGGGUAUCUGCUGAUAGUCGAAUUUUAUAUAAUGUUACUUCAAUCUCGCGAUUGAUAUCAAAAGUAUAUUUGGUACUAGAAAAUCAAAACUAUGUAUGAAGCGUGAAUGGAUAUAAUCAAGGUACGUGUAUCUAUAAGUUUGAAGUGAAUACAUUAUACUCAUAAAUUGUUCCAAAUGUGCCAUUAAUAAGAUGUCCAGAAGGGAAAGGCCACGAUUCUCAACGUAUCUCAAACAUUAUAGAAUAAGAUUGAGUCAUGCACUAUUAUAAUAGAUAUGUGUGAAUGAAAUGAUAUUUUUUGAAUAACUUUCUCGGAAUCUCUAAAAAAUGUCUUCCAUGCACUAGAGCAGUGUUUCAAUGGAACUCGAAUUUUGCAAUUUGCCGUGUAUUUACUAGUUUUUAAUUAUUACUAUGCCAUUCCUAUAUAAAAUGUUUUGUAGUUUGUAAACGAAGCUGCCUUACUUCCUACGUAAUAUCUCUGAGACUGCAACAAUCAUUUUUCAAUGUGUUACAUUGUCUACAUUAUAUUUGGUAAUAAAUUACUUCAAAUAAUUA
rnacentral:misc_RNA from 1 species